CACCACUUCCGGCGCGCUGGUUCCUGUCCGACCGGACAGGCGAAGAGGGAAUGCCCCAGAGGCAGCCGCCCCCGCGACCGUGACCGGAGAGGUUGCCCAAGCCACUGGCCGCAAGGCCGGGAAGGCGGGCCGCCGCGGAGCCGCAAGGCCCCACAUCCGCAAGCCGGGAGACCUGCCAGCGCUGAGACUUACGGG
rnacentral:ncRNA from 18 species